rnacentral:rRNA from 1 species
UACAUAGGGCGCAAGCGUUGUCCGGAAUUAUUGGGCGUAAAGAGCUUGUAGGCGGUUUGUCGCGUCUGCUGUGAAAAUCCGGGGCUCAACCCCGGACUUGCAGUGGGUACGGGCAGACUAGAGUGUGGUAGGGGAGACUGGAAUUCCUGGUGUAGCGGUGAAAUGCGCAGAUAUCAGGAGGAACACCGAUGGCGAAGGCAGGUCUCUGGGCCACUACUGACGCUGAGAAGCGAAAGCAUGGGGAGCGAACAGG